rnacentral:rRNA from 1 species
UACGUAGGGACCUAGCGUUGUCCGGAAUCAUUGGGCGUAAAGCGCGCGUAGGCGGCCCGGUAAGUCCGGUGUAAAAGUCGAAGGCUCAACCUUCGAAAGCCGAUGGAUACUGCCGGGCUAGAGUACGGAAGAGGCGAGUAGAAUUCCUGGUGUAGCGAUGAAAUGCGCAGAUAUCAGGAGGAACACCAAUUGCGAAGGCAGCACUCUGGGACGUGACUGACGCUGAGACGCGAAAGCGUGGGGAGCAAACAGG